ACAAAAAUGCUAGGCUUGAAUCAGUGCCAAAAACCUGUUACCCUGUUCUCCCUCGCUCUCUCUGCUCCCUGCAGGCACCUUCCAUGCAGCUAAUAACUCACUGCUGCCUUCCAGAGACCAGGCAAGCUGAGGAUACAGUGGUGCUCUGUGUGGCACAAGGAUUUUUCUGCAAAUUUCCAGCGGGGAAUGCUGCUGAGGCUGAUCCUGCUUACUGCAAGAGCUUGUGGCUUUGUGGAGCAUGUGCCACUGGUGGUAGCUGUUCUUGCAGCUGGUGACUGAAAGGGUUAAGCUAAGCAGCUGCCUGGAUGGAGCUCCUGCAUGGCCUCUCUUCCCUCUGGGGUGGCUGCUCUUGGCAAUGAUUCCCUCACGUUUUCACAGCCAGAGCUGAGCUUCCAACUGGAGGAAGGACUUCUGCCUGUUUCAGCUGAAAUGAGCUCCUUGGAGUGUGCUGGGCACCACGAGAUCCUCCUGGCAGCAUGGUAUGGGCAGGGGACAAGGGGGCAUUGCUGUUCCUUGUGUGAAUCCACUCUGCCACUGCAGAUGCUGUAACAGCCACAAAGGCUCUGCCUGUCUCCUGUUACACCUGGUCCCUGUGGUGAAGCAGGUGUCUUGUGCUAACCAGGGCUGAGAUGAUUUUCAUCCUGCGAAAGCCUGGGAAUUUCCUUUUCCUUUUGUUCCUCUAGGCUGUAGUUACUUCAGAAGACACUGUUCUUUUCAUCCUGGGAGCAGUAGGUGUUGAUUUCUGUGUCAGUCUUCUGAUGCAGGCCUCUGGCUGGAAAAGUUUCUCAUUCCAUGUUGGGUUCCCUAGGCUGGGAGCUUUUUCCAGGAGUUAGGGAUGAAGAUUUUGGCUUUUGUUACUUGUCCUCUGUGGACAUCAGUCAGUAGAACCUAGACAGAGGUAGCUGUGGUGUUGCAGAAACUGCUGAGUGCUCCUGGAGUGAGAAAGGCAGGCUUCAAGACUCCUUUUUGUGGAGCAAGACCCCCAAGGUGACCUGUUUGAAUCUGGCCCUAUCUACGUGCUGUUAAGUUAAUUGACAAAUAACUCUAAUGCCACUUGCUCUCCUGCUUAAAGAUCAAUGCUUGCCUGCUGGGCUAUUUUUUCCUUUGUAGCUCCUGUUUGUUUCCUAAGGGAGAGAUUAUUUGACCAGUGUAUUUGUGUGAUGUCUUUCUUUCUUUUACUCUAUUAUUUAUGAAAUCAAUAGAUCUUAAAAAGGAACGCUCACCACAAAGUGUCUGGAGCAAGGUGUGCUGAGGAAAAAGUGAAAACCUGCCCGCUGGCACAGCCUUUCCCAUCAGACUUUGCUGGAGAGAAGAGGAGCUCACCUGAACACGAAGGGGUGAAUUGUCCAUGAAAAUGCCAUAACAGCAGCCCGGGUGAUGGGGGCAGAAGCAGAAAUUCUUGCCUGAGUACCUGCAGGUCACACAGUGAAGCAGGGCCAGAAAUCAGAGUGGGCCAUGAGAUUGGUGUUCUAAAUUUGGCCGCCCAGGUGGGAGAUGGGAGGUGUGGUCCAUGCUCUGUGCUGCAGAGGAUGCUGAAAACUCUUAGGAUAUCUUCGAGAGGGGCUGUUGGUGGUGUUGGGCAGGCUCAGAGUGCUCGGGAAACAUUGCAGCUGUGGUGAGGGCAAGAAACAAAGCUGAGCAAGUUUCUGUGUCUGGUCCCUUUUCCCACCUUUGAUAGCAGUGGGCCUGUUGGUUUCCCUGUUUCCUGUGCUCCCUCCCCAUGGGCUGGCAGAGCAUUUUGGAGGUUACAUUCUUUGCUGCAAUUCCCCCACUCUGCCUCUCCUCACUGUGUGCUGCCUUCAUUGCCAGCUCUCACAGAAGUGAAGAUGAAAGAGAGAAGGGAUGAUUACAUUUAAUGGCAAUGAAAAUCGGUGUGCUGAUUGAGGGACUGUUUUCCUUCCUGCUCUCCCACCUAUUAAAGUUGGGAGGCAGCUUUGAAAUCUCACGUGGUCAUUUGGCCAGCCCUGUACCGGGCUCCACUGUGGCACCAGAAGGGAGGGGAAAGCAAGGUUGCCUCUGUGUUGUCUGGAUUUUCCAGCUUGGCCCCAGUACACCAGGAAGUCUUUUUCUCCCCUCACUUAAAUUAAACCCCCCUUUGCCUUCUUCUGCAAAGUGCCUCUGCCCUAACCCCAGUGGGUUAGUUCGCCUUCCUUUUGGAUGCAAAUACCUGCUACUUUACAAGCUGGGGAAAGAGCAGCAGAAAGCUAAUGAAGGUCAGCUGAAGUCCUCUUUCCUUAAUCCACCCCAGCAGUUCACAGCCUGGAUCAAAGAGCUGUGGGAUCAGCUGCCACUCAUCCUGAACAAGCUGCUCUGGCCCUGUCCUGGGAGUCCAGGCUCUGGGAGAAGUUGCUGGAGGUGGAGAGGUGCUGAAAUGCCAAAUGAUACUGGAAAAGGUUUUCCCUGUCUUCGAGACUGCUAUGAAAUGGACACUGUGGUAUCUAAGGUGUUCAGAAAGCGCAGGGCUGAGUGAGUGACAAAGGGACUCUGACUCCCAUGGUUGGAGCCAGUGUGUCUGGCUGUCUGUCUGUCUGCCUGCAGUGAGUGGCAAGGCAGUGCAGCCACCAAGCCCAGGAGCAAGUACAUGCUGUGGCCUUGGCAGAAACAUCUUUCAAAGCAUGACUGUGAUUUAUAUCCCAGAAUUUAUUUCAUGUCCCGGGACCCCUUCUUACCCUUCAUCAGCUUCCCACCACCCUGGACCAAAUGCUGUUCACUGUGAGCAUCUUCCCCCAGCCUCUGCAGCCAGAGUGCAGGAUUUGGCAAUGAACCAGCUUUAUUCCUGAUGUAUGGCACAUUUACCUUUCCUGUGGCUACCUGUAACCUGCCUCCAUCCUCCUCCAUCCUCCUGAAACCUUCCUGCCUGCACAGACAGGUGAGACUUUCCUUUCCUGCCCACCAAGGAGAUGCUGAAUCCAGCUCCACCACCUCCCCAGGUAUUUCUGCUUUCCCCAAGGCAUGAAUCACCCCAGGGCUUUUGAUGAGCUGUGGCUUUUGGAAUGUCAGAGCUACCCUAUGUUAGCCACUCCUCUCCUUAGGACCCCUUCGCCUUUUUCUUGCUGAGCAAUCUUUGUUUUUAUCCAGUGAGAAAUUUUAUGCGAUUUAACUAUUUAAUUAAGGUUUUUUCCUUUCUUGUUGUUGUUUACUCUUAAGCUACAUGGAAAUUGUUCUUAAGAACAUUUGCAUCAGUUCUUCUGAAGUCAAACUUAGGAGUACUGCUAUAAUCCAUCCACAUCUCUCUGCAUGCUUUAACUACUAACUUCACUGAAAUCCCUGAGGUUAGUUAAAAUGAGCCCUUGUGGCUAAACAAAAGGGGGUUGGGAAGGGAUUUAACCCUUUGCCUUCCCAGCUGCACAGACUGAGUAGUGCAGUCCCAGCUGGCUGCCUGGGAGCUUUGCCUCACUGGAGGGGAGAUCACCUAAGUGAAGGUUGCUCAGAGCUGGGAUUGAGGCCAGAUGGCUCAGGAGGCCCCUUCCAAGGUUAUCAGCUCUGAUGAGGUGUCCAAAUGCAAACCACUGUGAGUGCAGAGGCACAGCAGUGAAACUGUUCUUGACUCAACAUCUCUGCCAUCAUUUACAGGACUGUUGUGCUGAAGAGGCUCUAAUGCUCCUUUCCUCUCAGUCAAAACACUUUUUUCCUUUUUCCUAAGCCUUUUCUUUGCUUGAAUUCUCAUCCUGGCUGGAUAUAAAGCUGCCUGGUGGCCUUGCAGGAUAUGUUGCAUGUUGUCCCUGCAGUUGGUGGUCAAAUGGGUCCUGUCAUAUCUGAAAAAGAUGGGCUAGUGGUGCAAAGUGUGGAAGAUGAUUUUUCCAGGAGGCUUUUUGAGGUUGUGUUUAAUUUUGUGGUCUUUGUUCUCGUGCAGGGAUGAAGUCCAUCAGGUGAUAUAGACUCUGGCCAGACUGGUGACAUGCCCUUGGAAACCUCUCAUCACCCUCCAGCAUGACAACCAGGUCAAUAAAACUCCUGUUUGGCUUCCAAGCUGAAGGAGCGGAUGUCACUGGAGGCAGUGCUGAGUGUGCCAUGGUUAUGUACCUUCCAUCAGGAACUGAGGUGAUGUGUCCCUUCACCACAAGCCUUGGAAGGCUGCUGUGACCCUCGGGUUGAAGAGGAAAUCAAGGAGAAUUCAGGAACUUUUGUGCCCCUGGAAAAUCCCUGUAAAUUUUUGCCCUGGACUGAACAGCAAAGGAAAAGUGACCAAAUAAAUUGGAGAUCUCCAGAGCAGAAAUGUCUCAGGCAUAGCAGCUCUUCAGAGCAACAAAACAAUUGAACUGGACUCCCUUUCCUCACACACAGCCCUUCCACUUAGACUGUCCAGGGAAUAGACCUGAAGUCUAAUUCCAGGGAACUGGGCUGGAGGAUCUGGCACUGGGGACAAGCGCAGCGAGGAUGUUGUCUCCCCUUCUGGGUGUUGAGAUGUGAUGAUGCCGCCUUGUGUAGGUGUGAAAUGUCAGCAGUGAAUGUUUACCCAGGGUGCCUGACGUGACGUGCAAGGACCUGCCUGUCAGUUUGGACCAUCUGUUUCUUGCUGUGGAGGUGUCUUUUGCCUUUCCCGUUGUCUUCCUGAGCCUGGUUCUUCUCUUUCCAAUCAUGGUCCCUUACUGCAGGUGCUGCUCUCUCCCUCUUCCUGGUCUUCCACCCUAAGCCUGCUCUGUAGCCUUCUUCCCACCAGCAUCCUGGUAUCAGGUUUGGGUUUGGAUUUUUGUGGUGGAUUUGAUUCCAUGAAGCAGCACCUCUUUUGUGAACUUGUUUUUCCUCAUUUAAGUGGUUCUUGCUGUCUCUCCCUCCCCUUGGCGUGGAAGAGACACACUCAGGCUCUGCCUGUCUGACUUGCACUUGCUCAAGCCCUGGGGAUUGCAAAGCUUGUCCUGACGUGAUCCUGCAGCAGUGGAGAAUUCCUGUAACACAGGGGAGAGAGCAUUCAUUGCUGGAGUAACCAGGGAAAUGGGAAAUGCCUCCCUGAGAGUGUUACAGCCCUUAUGGUGGCUCUCCCAAAAGACUCUGCUCAAGGAAGAAGCUCCCCUGGUUGUUUUCCCUCCCUAUUCAGGGCUUGGAAGCACUGUAGGAGAGUGUACUUGUGCAUCUGUGGGUAAUUUUUACCCUGACCCCACAGCACUGGGUCCCUGGUGCAGGGGGAAGAGGCUGGGAGCACACUGCAGCCUCAUGUCAAGUGGGAUGUAACUGUGGUCAGUUCUGCCUUGCUUUUGGUGCUGGGGAAGGGAUCAUCCCUUUUUCUCCCACCUCUGAGACAGGAGCUUUGUCCUGCUGUGGGGGUGCCUUUCUCGAAGGGAAAAGGGGAUGACCCAGGAGGAACAAUGCCAGAAAGAUCUGAUCCUGUCAUUUCACUCCCUGUGUAGUGCUGGGCACUGUCAGCCCCAGCCACCACCACAGCUUUUUGGUGGUCACUGGGUGUCCUGUGCCUUGGCAUCUCUCCUCUGGCCAUGGCUGGUUCUUGCAAUGUGGUUUCUCCUCCCUGGCAGAUGAUGAAUGAAGGAGAGCAUUUCCCAGGACCUCUCUCCUGGGUAAGCCUCUACGGUGCCGUAUUUAUUUUGUAGGAUUGAUGCAUUGUGCACUUUUCUCUCUGGCUGGUUCAAGCAAACACACACAAAUAACACUGCUUUUAUCUGCCCAGGUCCAGACCCUGCUCAAAGCCUCCUCUUGGCAUGACUCACUCCUGGGCAAGCCCUGGAGAAAGUAGAUGUGGUAAUUCAGUUGCAGAUCCCAACCUUUUCUCACGGCCCUGUGGUCAGCUGGCUUUGUCAGGUGUGCUCCAGGUGGCUGACAGGAGAGCAAGGUGCUCUGAGCAGGAGUCUUGCAUCAGCCAAGUGUCUUUUCCUGCCUCUCCUGCCUGCUCCAGCCCUCCCAGAGGGAUCCUUCUGGUUGACAGGAUACUUGGUCCCACAGGCAAUUCGGGACACUUUCUGUAAGCUGUGACACUUUGGCUCUGGUAGAGGUGUUGGUGUAAACUGGGUUCUUGAUCCAUUGAGCAAUUCAUAUGAAGUACUUAAUUAAAAAUUGCACUGUCACUUUUGUUGAUGUCCUGGCCUCUGCUGGUUUCUGCAAGGGUAAAUUCUGUUUGCUGAAAAUUUUGUCAUUUUUACAGAAUGCCUUUUUUUAUCAUCCUGUUUUCCUUUCUCCUGUUUUGCCUUUCUGUGUCCUCCAUUUUAAUCCUUAAGUAAAACCGCAUCAUAAACUAAAAUCCAUAUUUUAGAAAAAACAACACACAAAAUCAAAGGGGGAAGCUGGAACCCAAUUUGAUGAAUAAUAAA